rnacentral:rRNA from 1 species
AGAGUUUGAUCCUGGCUCAGAAUCAACGCUGGCGGCGCGCCUAACACAUGCAAGUCGAACGAGAACGGGUAGCAAUACCUUAGUAAAGUGGCGUACGGGUGAGUAACACGUGGAUCAUCUACCUUCUAGUGGGGAAUACCGUUGGGAAACCUACGACAAUACCGCAUAAGCUCGAGAGAGGAAAGCAGCAAUGCGCUGGAAGAGGAGUCCGCGGUCGAUUAGUUAGUUGGCAGGGUAAAGGCCUACCAAGACUGUGAUCGAUAGCCGGCCUGAGAGGGCACACGGCCACACUGGCACUGAAACACGGGCCAGACUCCUACGGGAGGCAGCAGUGGGGAAUAUUGCACAAUGGGGGAAACCCUGAUGCAGCGACGCCGCGUGAGCGAUGAAGCCCUUCGGGGUGUAAAGCUCUUUCGGCAGGGACGAUUAUGACGGUACCUGCAGAAGCAGCUGCGGCUAACUACGUGCCAGCAGCCGCGGUAAUACGUAGGCAGCAAGCGUUGUUCGGAAUUACUGGGCGUAAAGGGUGCGUAGGCGGCUUUUUAAGUUUGUUGUGAAAUCUCCCGGCUCAACUGGGAGGGUGCGGCGAAUACUGAGAAGCUAGAGUGUGGGAGAGGAAAGUGGAAUUCCUGGUGUAGCGGUGAAAUGCGUAGAUAUCAGGAGGAACACCGGUGGUGUAAACGGCUUUCUGGACCAUAACUGACGCUGAGGCACGAAAGCGUGGGUAGCAAACAGGAUUAGAUACCCUGGUAGUCCACGCCCUAAACGAUGCAUAUUUGGUGUGGGCCAUUCAUUUGGUCCGUGCCGGAGCUAACGCGUUAAAUAUGCCGCCUGGGGAGUACAGUCGCAAGGCUGAAACUCAAAGGAAUUGACGGGGGCCCGCACAAGCGGUGGAGCAUGUGGUUUAAUUCGACGCAACGCGAAGAACCUUACCUGGGCUCGAAAUGCUUACGACCAUCUUUGGAAACAGAGACUUCCCGCAAGGGACGUGAGUAUAGGUGCUGCAUGGCUGUCGUCAGCUCGUGUCGUGAGAUGCUGGGUUAAGUCCCGCAACGAGCGCAACCCUUGUCCUGUGUUGCCAUCAUUAAGUUGGGAACUCGCAGGAGACCGCCAGGGAUAACCUGGAGGAAGGUGGGGAUGACGUCAAGUCCUCAUGGCCUUUAUGUCCAGGGCUACACACGUGCUACAAUGGACGGUACAAAGCGCUGCCAACCCGCGAGGGGGAGCCAAUCGCAAAAAACCGUUCUCAGUUCGGAUUGCAGCCUGCAAUCCG